GAUGAACGCUGGCGGCGUGCCUAAUACAUGCAAGUCGAGCGAACAGACGAGGGGCUGGCUCCUGUGACGUUAGCGGCGGACGGGUGAGUAACAUGUGGAUAACCUACCUAGAAGGGUGGGAUAACUUCGGGAAAGCGGUGCUAAUACCGGAUAAUAUAGGGAGCCGCAUGGGUCAAUAGUGAAAUACGGUUUUGCUGUCACUUAUUGAUGGAUCCGCGCCGGAUUAGCUAGUUGGUAAGGUAACGGCUUACCAAGGCAACGAUGCGUAGCCGGCCUGAGAGGGUGAUCAGCCACACUGGAACUGAGACACGGUCCAGACUCCUACGGGAGGCAGCAGUAGGGAAUCUUCCGCAAUGGGCGAAAGCUUGACGGAGCAACGCCGCGUGAGUGAUGAAGGUCUUCGGAUCGUAAAGCUCUGUUAUUAGGGAAGAACACAUGUGUAAGUAACUAUGCACGUCUUGACGGUACCUAAACAGAAAGCCCCGGCUAACUACGUG
rnacentral:rRNA from 1 species